UAAAUAGUUACCCAAUAAAAACGAGGGAUAUCUACAAUAAUUGUAUGAGACCUUAGACCAUUUUUAUAGAUCUCACUUUGCUAGGCAUAGCUUAAUAUGUCACGGCACUGUCACCUGUACAACAUGAGAAUUAUUUAGGUGAAAUGUUUGGAUUCUGCAAUCUUACCUCAAUCAGCAUCACAACUAAAAAAUAAUAAUAAAGUUACAAUCUCUCACUAACUGCAGUAAAAAAAUCUGAACAAUGUAUAACAUUCCCCAACAUCGGAUUUACGAUCACUCACAAGCUACAAGGUGAUUGGUUCUGUCAUCUUGUGCUGUAGAAAUACUAAAGAAACCAAGGACCAAUCACAGGCUAGCAGAACUCAGAGUGGCACAGAAUGCUUGCAUCUGAUUGGAGUCGCUAUAGGGACCAGGAUUGUUUUUAUUCCUUCUCCCGGAUGUUUGAGGGGAAGGAGGCAACUGAGGCAGCAAGGAGAAGAGGAGAAAAGACAGAAAACUUUGUGAAGGAUGUGGAGAAAGGGUGCUGUGCAGCCCGUGAGGCUGCAAGAGGUGGAGGUUGUAGGGCUUCUCACAGAACCCUCCUUUCACAUGGCAAAAUGUGCAGCAGAGCCUGCCCCCCCCCCAGCCUCAAAAUCUAUUCCAAGGGGUCUGGGGACCCUCCAGAGCAUAUUAUGAAGGGCAUACAGGGAGAGGAGACAAAGGAGAAGCCUUCUCAGGGCCUGAGGAAAAGUUUUCCAAACAAGAUAGCAGAGCCAAAAGUGCUUCCUUUACUGCAGUUUGCAUGGGAUGAAUAUUUACAGGAGAAGAAAAAGGAGUUAAAAGGGGAAACAUGGGAAUAUCCUUCCAACGUGAUGUGCUUUAUUGAUGGCCAGCUUGUUGGAGAUGAAAAACAGCUGUUACAGUGGGCCUAUGAUGUUUGGGAUUAUGAGGACUUCAAGCCCGUUGCACUUUAUGAAGCAAUUACACAGGAUUUCCUCACUAAAUACAUGAGAAACAAGCAGCAUGUGUUUGUGUACUUUGAAAUAUCUAUUCAGGCAGAGCCUAAAGGAAAAUUGCUAUUUGAGCUCUAUUCUGAUAUCUGUCCCAGGACAUGUAAAAACUUCCAGUAUUUGUGUUCAGGGGAGAAAAAGAAGUCUAUGUCUGGGCUUCCACUCACUUACCGUGAUUCUAUCUUUCACCGACUUGUAAAAAAUGGCUGGAUACAAGGAGGAGACAUAAGGGGAGGAAGAGGGACUGGAGGCGAGUCAAUUUAUGGACCUUUUUUUGAAGAUGAAAGUUUUGCAGUUCUCCAUGACAAGAGAGGUGUUCUGGGAAUGGCCAACAAAGGACGCCACAGCAAUGCAUCUCAGUUCUACAUCACACUACAGCCAGCACCCUACUUGAAUGAGAAAUAUGUGGCUUUUGGACAGCUGAUCGAGGGCUCAGAAGUUCUCCGGGAACUGGAAGCAGUGGAAACAUUCAACGAGAGGCCAGUUGUAGAAUGUAAAAUUGUUAACUGUGGAGUAUUUCAGCCAUAGCCAUGGAUGUUAGAUAUAUUUUGUUUUACUGUAAUGCAUGACAGUGUUGUUUUCUGAACAUAGGAUUUACUUCUGUUAAUUUUUUUGAGGGGGUUAAAUAUAAAAGCAUUUUUUUUCACUUUGAAAAAAGAAAAGAAAAACAUGUUGUCUCCUUUUCCAUGGCAAAUAGUUUCAUUGCCAAAACAGCCUUAUACUUGAGACUACAGGAUCUUGGGAACCUAAUGUAAUGUAUUAAUGUGACCACUAUGCAGGGAGCUCUCUUAAGUGCACCCAGGGAGCUGCAUAUGUGCAUCAGGACUCCAUCUUGUUUUCUUUAAGCAACAGCCUCCCAGUUCUGGACCAUACACUGCUUGUGAAACUCUUCUCAAAAGCUAGAGCUACGAUUCCUAGUACCCUCAACAAACUACAGUUCCCAGGAUUCACUGGGUGUUUUAUCACAACAGUCCUGUGGGUGAAGGCCACAUUAAACGCAGCCUUGAAGGAACAGGAGGUACAAGUGCAGCAUUCUUCUUGUCACUUCACAUCUCCAUGUUGUCUGACAAUUUUAUUUAUCUGGACAUUUAGAACCUUCCUUUCUGUGAGGAAAUCAAGUAGGUUCAUUGCACAAGACCUAUUAAGUUAUUUCACAAUUUGAAUUUUCCAGUAUGUGACUGAAUCCCACCUGAAAAUAGUGAGUGUAGAAGCACCCCAAAUUUCAUACUUGCACCUUUCAGAAGAUUAGUAGUAGUGAGCUGUGCACAAGCUGUUUACUUCUCUGCUAUUACUGAUACUCUCAUUGAGGAAUGUCAGUAUUCCUGGAACACUAUUUGCAAGCUGCUCUGUAGGUCAAUUUCCACCUAAAAAGAAUAAUCAGCCAGGAAAGUGGUGCUGUAACUGGAAUCGACAUUCUUUCUAUCACCCUCUUACAAUUUUAAGUGCAUACACAGCCUUUCUGUACACCGUUGUCCCUGGCCUUGUAUCUGGACUGAAGUUUUGCUUCAGUCACACAGAGUUAAUUUAAGAUGUUUUGCUGCCCUAAGCAGAUGAACUGCAUGGUCCAAUUGGUGUGACCAGGGCUUCUUGGUAAUGUCGCACAGGAUCCUGGCCGUCAUGUGUGGCCACCUGGAGCAGACCAAGCCUUGUGCCUCGAUAUCCUCUGCAUAUAAGCAUUGCAGUACUGUAUUACAAAGCGUGCACCUAUAUGCAACACCAGAGAAGCUGCUUGGUUUCUUAGUCUGCCCAGUCAGCUCUCCUGUUAAAGACUGACUUCAAGUCCUCUGGCAGUCAUUAUCCCUCACCCUUGGUUGUUAGUCCGUUUUUAACGAGAUAUUUUACAUUGUUGUGACGCGCCCUGGGACCUUGCAGCGAAGGGCAAGUAACCUAAUACAAAAAUAAUUUUUGGCUCAGGACUUAAUGCAUCGUCUUCAACGUCUCUGCUUUUAGGUGAUAUUGUGCAGCUCGCCUGCAUUUGGUGGGCAGCGGGGCUUCUGCUCAUUCUACUGAGUGGAGUUUAAGCCCUGCCAUCACUACUGCCCGUCUGGUUUUUGCGGCUUGCUAAACGCAAAGCGUAAUUCUGACGCUGCCCAAGGUCAAGAACUAAUCGCUUUUCUCCUAUCACAAAGCUAUUUAAGUGAUCCCUGCGCCAAAGAUCAAUAUUGAUCUUUCAACGACACCCGCGUCUACAAAGCAACCCAUGAUCUAAUUUUCGCACGAAUUGAG